rnacentral:misc_RNA from 1 species
UCCGUUUUAACAACGGCAGUCUCCUUAGAGUGCUCAACUAAAUGGUAGCAACUAAGGACGGGAGUUGCGCUCGUUGCGGGACUUAACCCAACAUCUCACGACACGAGCUGACGACAGCCAUGCAGCACCUGUCUCCGGUCCAGCCGAACUGAAGAACUCCAUCUCUGGAGUCCGCGACCGGGAUGUCAAGGGCUGGUAAGGUUCUGCGCGUUGCGUCGAAUUAAACCACAUGCUCCACCGCUUGUGCGGGUCCCCGUCAAUUCCUUUGAGUUUUAAUCUUGCGACCGUACUCCCCAGGCGGGGUGCUUAACGCGUUAGCUGCGACACCGAGACUAAUGUCCCGACGUCUAGCACCCAUCGUUUAGGGCGUGGACUAC